UCCCGUUUAGCUUAACUGGUUAAAGCACCCGACUCAUAAUCGGAUGAUUACGGGUUCGAAUCCUGUCGCGGGAA
rnacentral:tRNA from 1 species